GGGAAGGGAUGACUAGUGGCAGAGUGAGGGAAGGAAGGGAUGACUGGUGACAGAGUGAGAGAGGGGGUGACUAGUGACAGAGUGAGAGAGGGAGUGACUGUCACUAGUCACCCCAUCCCUCUCUCUGUCACUAGUCACUCCCUCCCUAACUCUGUCACUAGUCACCCCCUCUCUCACUCUGUCACUAGUCACCCCCUCUCUCACUAAGGACAGAGGGGUGAUUAGUGACAGAGAGAGGGAUGGGGUGACUAGUGACAGUCACCCCCUCCCUCACUCUGUCACUAGUCACUCCCUCUCUC